rnacentral:rRNA from 1 species
GAUGAACGCUGGCGGCGUGCCUAAUACAUGCAAGUCGAGCGAACGGACGAGAAGCUUGCUUUUCUGAUGUUAGCGGCGGACGGGUGAGUAACACGUGGAUAACCUACCUAUAAGACUGGGAUAACUUCGGGAAACCGGAGCUAAUACCGGAUAAUAUUUUGAACCGCAUGGUUCAAAAGUGAAAGACGGUCUUGCUGUCACUUAUAGAUGGAUCCGCGCUGCAUUAGCUAGUUGGUAAGGUAACGGCUUACCAAGGCAACGAUGCAUAGCCGACCUGAGAGGGUGAUCGGCCACACUGGAACUGAGACACGGUCCAGACUCCUACGGGAGGCAGCAGUAGGGAAUCUUCCGCCAUGGGCGAAAGCCUGACGGAGCAACGCCGCGUGAGUGAUGAAGGGCUUCGGAUCGUAAAACUCUGUUAUUAGGGAAGAACAUAUGUGUAAGUAACUGUGCACAUCUUGACGGUACCUAAUCAGAAAGCCACGGCUAACUACGUG